rnacentral:rRNA from 1 species
UACGUAGGGUGCGAGCGUUAAUCGGAAUUACUGGGCGUAAAGCGUGCGUAGGCGGUUCGCUGUGUCCGAUGUGAAAGCCCCGGGCUUAACCUGGGAAUGGCAUUGGAAACUGGCGGGCUUGAGUGCGGCAGAGGGGGGGUGGAAUUCCACGUGUAGCAGUGAAAUGCGUAGAGAUGUGGAGGAACACCGAUGGCGAAGGCAGCCUCCUGGGCCAGCACUGACGCUCAUGCACGAAAGCGUGGGGAGCAAACAGG